UACGGAGGGUGCAAGCGUUAUCCGGAUUCACUGGGUUUAAAGGGUGCGUAGGCGGGUAAGUAAGUCCGUGGUGAAAUCUCUGAGCUUAACUCAGAAACUGCCGUGGAUACUAUUUGCCUUGAAUAUUGUGGAGGUGAGCGGAAUAUGUCAUGUAGCGGUGAAAUGCUUAGAUAUGACAUAGAACACCAAUUGCGAAGGCAGCUCACUACACAAUCAUUGACGCUGAGGCACGAAAAGCGUGGGGGAUCAAAACAGG
rnacentral:rRNA from 1 species